CAGGACGAACGCUGGCGGCGUGCUUCAUACAUGCAAGUCGAACGCGAAAGGGACUUCGGUCCUGAGUAAAGUGGCGCACGGGUGAGUAACGCGUAGAUAACCUGUCUUCAUGUCUGGAAUAAUACGCCAAAGGGGUACUAAUACCGGAUAUUCUUGCUUUUCAUAAGUUAUGCAAGCAAAGGUGGCCUCUGCAUAUGCUACUGCAUGAAGAGGGGUCUGCGUACCAUUAGCUAGUAGGUGGGUAAUGGCCUACCUAGGCGACGAUGGUUAGCGGGUCUGAGAGGAUGAUCCGCCACACUGGCACUGGAACACGGGCCAGACUCCUACGGGAGGCAGCAGUGAGGAAUAUUGCGCAAUGGGGGAAACCCUGACGCAGCGACGCCGCGUGAGUGAAGGAAGGCCUUCGGGUCGUAAAGCUCUGUCAAGAGGAAAGAAGUGUACAAUGGCUAAUACCUGUUGUAUUUGACGGUACCUCUAAAGGAAGCACCGGCUAACUCCGUGCCAGCAGCGGC
rnacentral:rRNA from 1 species